AAUGGCUGCAGUAAUUUGACUGUACAAAGGUAGCAUAAUCAUUAGUUUUUUAAUUAAAAGCUUGUAUGAAAGGUUGGACGAAAUAAAAUCUGUCUCUUUUUAAUAUAAUUAGAAUUUAAUUUUUAAGUUAAAAAGCUUAAAUAAAUUUAAAAGACGAGAAGACCCUAUAGAGUUUAAUAAUUUUUUUUUUUUUAAUUAAUUUAGAUUUAUUUAUUUUAUUUUAAAAAAAUUAUUUUAUUGGGGUAAUAGAAAGAUUAAAAUAAUUCUUUUUUAAAAAAAUCAUUAAUUUAUGAAAAUUUAUGAUCCAUUGAAUUUUGAUUAUAAGAUUAAAUUACCUUAGGGAUAACAGCGUAAUUUUUUUUAAGAGUUCAUAUCGAUAAAAAAGUUUGCGACCUCGAUGUUGGAUUAAAGAUUAAUUUAGGUGUAGAAGUUUAAAUUUUUGGUCUGUUCGACCAUUAAAUCUUUACAUGAUCUGAGUUCAAACCGGUGUAAGCCAGGUUGGUUUCUAUCUUUAAAAAAAAUUUAAUAUUUUAGUACGAAAGGACCAGAUAUUAUAUAUAUUAAUAUUUAAGUUAUUGAAUAUU
rnacentral:rRNA from 1 species